GACGAACGCUGGCGGCGUGCUUAACACAUGCAAGUCGAACGCUGAAGCUUGGUGCUUGCACUGGGUGGCUGAGUGGCGAACGGGUGAGUAAUACGUGAGUAACCUGCCCUUGACUCUGGGAUAAGCCUGGGAAACUGGGUCUAAUACUGGAUACGACAUGUCACCGCAUGGUGGUGUGUGGAAAGGGUUUUACUGGCUUUGGAUGGGCUCACGGCCUAUCAGCUUGUUGGUGGGGUAAUGGCUCACCAAGGCGACGACGGGUAGCCGGCCUGAGAGGGUGACCGGCCACACUGGGACUGAGACACGGCCCAGACUCCUACGGGAGGCAGCAGUGGGGAAUAUUGCACAAUGGGCGGAAGCCUGAUGCAGCGACGCCGCGUGAGGGAUGACGGCCUUCGGGUUGUAAACCUCUUUCAGCACGGAAGAAGCGAAAGUGACGGUACGUGCAGAAGAAGCGCCGGCUAACUACGUG
rnacentral:rRNA from 1 species